rnacentral:lncRNA from 1 species
CCUAGGCUUUAUUUUCUUAUUAUUUAAAAAAAUAGUUGUGAACAUUUUGAAUAUACUAUUUCUAUGUAGAGGACUAUAUUACAUUUUAAUGUAAUAUAUUGUAAUACUUGUCAAAUUUAAAGAACUAGAAGGCUUAAAAUAGGCUACAUAUCUAAAAUAAUCAGAAAAGGGGAGACACACAAAAACACAGAAACUAUCAAAUGAACUCCAAAUCACACUGUUUUUGACCCUAAAGAAAAGCUCAAGUGGUAAUGCUUUCUUGAGAGUUGCAAACCUAGAGCAGUGACUGUCUUAGACAAAGGAUAUGAGUCAGGGAUGGAUAGGGAGCAGUGGUACAUGUUGCAUUCCAGGUAACCACUGCUUCAGAAAGAGACGUAGCAGUACUCUUCAGCCAAGCUGGUUGUCUUUGGUCAAAAGCAGAGAAACAAGGUGUGCCCCUUUUCUUUGGAGAGCAGAAUGAAGAAGAUACUUUUUAAAGUUUCUUUCUAUCUCCUACCUCUAUCGGUCAGUAUGAUCAUCAGGGAGUUGAUGUUUCUGCAAUUUUGUGUCAUAUCAGUUUCCCUUUAUAGCUGCUGGGAAGUUACACCCUGGUCCUUGCAUGUGGUGCAUCAUCAGAUUCUGCAAAUCAUUGGAGUAUCCAGACUUGGAGCGAUGACCCUACAUAAAGGAAGCAGGUAGACCCGAAAUUAAAGGUCACCUAAUGGGAAAAGAGUCAGAAUAAAUUAAGACAAGGUAAUUUAAGGCAGUGCUUAUAUGACUCUAAUACAUACACAAAAGUCAAA